rnacentral:lncRNA from 1 species
CAGAGCCUGCUGAGUGCUCAGAAGGACCAUUUGGUUGCAUAUAGUUAUAACUGUAUAGUAAUUUAAUUACAUACAAAUAUAAAUUCGGUAAUUGAUUUGAUAUAUUUAACUCUAGCUAUUACAGGAGGAGAUCUAACUACAGCAGUUGGAACUACGCCUAAAUUGGCCGCAGUUCCAAUUGUAAUAAUUGGAGAGAAUAAUUUUAAAUAAAAGAUAAUCUUACCUCUUUAAAUUUUUUUUAAUAAAAAUAUUUUUUUUUUAUAUUGGAGGUAAUUUCAUCAUCAUAUGUAUAAAAUAAUAAAUUUAAAAAAUCAUUUUUAAGCUAUAUGUAAUUAAAUAAAUUAUUUAUAGCUGCAGUAUUUUUUAUUUUAUUCAAUCAAAUAUGAAGCAUGUAGUUAGACUCGAAUUCCUUCCCCUGAACAAGAAAACUCGAAAUUGUUCUGUGAGAAGAGGACAUGUUCUGUGAGAAGGAGGAAUUCUACAUUGUCACACUUGCACCACGUCAUCAAUAACAAGCCAAUCACAUUCCUUCUUUUCAAAUAAAAGUACAAUAAAAAUACUUUUUUACAAUCAUGAUGGGACAUAUUUUUAAAAAAAUUAAUUUGAUUGGUUUGUUACGCCCAGUCACUAAUAUACCCGUUGCAUUCUAUAAUUUUUCCU